rnacentral:rRNA from 1 species
UACGUAGGGCGCAAGCGUUGUCCGGAAUUAUUGGGCGUAAAGCGUGCGCAGGCGGUUUUGUAAGCCAGAUGUGAAAUCCCCGGGCUUAACCUGGGAAUGGCAUUUGGGACUGCAAGGCUUGAGUGCGGCAGAGGGAGGUGGAAUUCCACGUGUAGCAGUGAAAUGCGUAGAGAUGUGGAGGAACACCGAUGGCGAAGGCAGCCUCCUGGGCCAGCACUGACGCUCAUGCACGAAAGCGUGGGGAGCAAACAGG